GAACCUGAGCGCGCGAUUUGUGUGUGUGUUUUUCUUGUUGCGGCGGCGCCAUCUUGUGGCUCGCGGGAAUGGGACGACCAAAAGAAGAAAAAUAAUGUCCUUACCUCACUUCCGGAUUCCAAGAUGGCCGCCAAAACGUCACAUCCUUUGAUGACAUCGCUUCCGGCUCCAUCCAAUGACGAUACUUCCGGUCUCCAGAGAUGACAUCACUUCCUCCAUCACAUCACUUCCGGUUACUUUUGAUGAUGUUGUAUCCGUCUGCCCGUUUCAACGUUGUCUCCUGCCAACUCAUUUCCGUCCACAAUUUUCUCACUGUACAAAACGCCAUUUGUUGUAAAACACUUUGAUCUGCCGUAAUAAGUAUUUGAUCCAUCA